UACGGAGGGUGCAAGCGUUAUCCGGAUUCACUGGGUUUAAAGGGUGCGUAGGUGGGUUGGUAAGUCAGUGGUGAAAUCUCCGAGCUUAACUUAGAAACUGCCAUUGAUACUAUCAGUCUUGAAUACCGUGGAGGUCAGCGGAAUAUGUCAUGUAGCGGUGAAAUGCUUAGAUAUGACAUAGAACACCAAUUGCGAAGGCAGCUGACUACGCGAAUAUUGACACUGAUGCACGAAAGCGUGGGGGAUCAAACAGG
rnacentral:rRNA from 1 species